AGUGAACGCUGGCGGUAGGCCUAACACAUGCAAGUCGAACGGCAGCACAGUAAGAGCUUGCUCUUACUGUUGGCGAGUGGCGGACGGGUGAGGAAUACAUCGGAAUCUACUUUUUCGUGGGGGAUAACGGAGGGAAACUUACGCUAAUACCGCAUACGACCUACGGGUGAAAGCAGGGGUUCUUCGGACCUUGCGCGAUUGAAUGAGCCGAUGUCGGAUUAGCUAGUUGGCGGGGUAAAGGCCCACCAAGGCGACGAUCCGUAGCUGGUCUGAGAGGAUGAUCAGCCACACUGGAACUGAGACACGGUCCAGACUCCUACGGGAGGCAGCAGUGGGGAAUAUUGGACAAUGGGCGCAAGCCUGAUCCAGCCAUACCGCGUGGGUGAAGAAGGCCUUCGGGUUGUAAAGCCCUUUUGUUGGGAAAGAAAAGCAGCAGGUUAAUACCCCGCUGUUCUGACGGUACCCAAAGAAUAAGCACCGGCUAACUUCGUG
rnacentral:rRNA from 1 species